CAGCCGCCGCGGUAAUACCGGCGGCCCGAGUGGCGGUCACUAUUAUUGGGCUUAAAGCGUCCGUAGCCGGGUUGGGAAGUCCUCCGGGAAAUCUGGCCGCUUAAAGGUCAGAAUGCCGGAGGAUACUCCCAGCCUAGGGAGCGGGAGAGGCCGAGGCUAUUCCCGGAGUAGGGGGGAAAUCCUAUAAUCCCGGGAGGACCACCUGUGGCGAAGGCGCUCGGCUGGAACGCGUCCGACGGUGAGGGACGAAGGCCAGGGGAGCAAACCGGAUUAGAUACCCGGGUAGUCCUGGCUGUAAACGAUGCGGACUUUGUGUCGGACAAGCUAUGAGCUUGUCCGGUGCCGGAGGGAAACCGUUAAGUCCGCCGCCUGGGGAGUACGGCCGCAAGGUUGAAACUUAAAGGAAUUGGCGGG
rnacentral:rRNA from 1 species